AUGAACGCUGGCGGCGUGCUUAACACAUGCAAGUCGAACGGAAAGGCCCAAGCUUGCUUGGGUACUCGAGUGGCGAACGGGUGAGUAACACGUGGGUGAUCUGCCCUGCACUUCGGGAUAAGCCUGGGAAACUGGGUCUAAUACCGGAUAGGACCACUUCUUGGAUGUUGUGGUGGAAAGUUUUUUCGGUGUGGGAUGAGCUCGCGGCCUAUCAGCUUGUUGGUGGGGUAAUGGCCUACCAAGGCGUCGACGGGUAGCCGGCCUGAGAGGGUGUACGGCCACAUUGGGACUGAGAUACGGCCCAGACUCCUACGGGAGGCAGCAGUGGGGAAUAUUGCACAAUGGGCGCAAGCCUGAUGCAGCGACGCCGCGUGGGGGAUGACGGCCUUCGGGUUGUAAACUCCUUUCGCUAGGGACGAAGCGUUUUUGUGACGGUACCUGGAGAAGAAGCACCGGCUAACUACGUA
rnacentral:rRNA from 1 species